GAUGAACGCUGGCGGCGUGCCUAAUACAUGCAAGUCGAACGCUGGAGAUCUAGCUUGCUAGAUCGAAGGAGUGGCGAACGGGUGAGUAAUACAUAAGCAACCUACCCACGAAGACUGGGAUAAUCUCUGGAAACGGGGACUAAUACCGGAUAGGUAAUCGGAAGGCAUCUUCUGGUUAUUAAAGGUUAAAAACACUGGUGGAUGGGCUUAUGGCGCAUUAGUUAGUUGGUGAGGUAACGGCCCACCAAGACGAUGAUGCGUAGCCGGCCUGAGAGGGUGAACGGCCCCAUUGGGACUGGGCACCGGCCCAGACCCCUAGGGGGGGCAGCAGUGGGGAUUUUUCGGAAAUGGGGGCAACCCGGCCCGAGCACCGCCGGGGGAGUGAAGACGGCUUUGGGGUUGUAAAGCUUUGUUGUAAGGGAAAAAGGGUAGAUAGAAAAUAUCUAAGUGGCGGUACCUUACCAAAAAGCCCCGGCAAACUCCGU
rnacentral:rRNA from 1 species